rnacentral:rRNA from 1 species
CACGCCCUAAACGAUGCGAACUAGGUGUUGGGGAAGGAGACUUUCUUAGUACCGCAGCUAACGCGUGAAGUUCGCCGCCUGGGGAGUACGGUCGCAAGAUUAAAACUCAAAGGAAUUGACGGGGACCCGCACAAGCGGUGGAUGAUGUGGUUUAAUUCGAUGCAACGCGAAAAACCUUACCCACCUUUGACAUGGUCGGAACCCUUUAGAGAUAGAGGGGUGCUCGAAAGAGAGCCGAUACACAGGUGC